AUUACAUCCACAGGUAUCCAGGGUUAGGGCUUCCACAUCUUUUUGAGGGAGACGGUUGAACCCAUAACAUCGUGUUUAUUUUAGGAAGCCAGGGAAAAGAGGGCUUAUGUUCCUUUGCCUUGUGACAAAGCAUAAAGUGGAGUAGCCUGGAGGGGUAGUGGUUGAGGCAAGGAAGAAGACACUGGGUGGUGUUAGGAGAAACUUGGGAAAGAAGAGAUGAAAAACUUGAGACUAAGACGCCAACGACUUUUCAAAGAUUCCACAGCCACCUGUAUCAGAAUGGAGCUGAAUUCAACAUCUUCUGAUGAACCCAACUGCAUCACUUACAGUCAGUGUGAGCUUGGCACAUUUGUGCAGCCGUACAUGGAGGUCACGAUUAUAACAGCUCAUCCGCAGAGAGAGGUGACUUCAAGUGUAUUGGGCAGUCCUGUCAUGACUAUAAGGAGCUUCACCUGCGUGGAAGGGCAUGAGGCUCUGGACAACCCCUAACCACCAAUCCUCUCUCCUUCCUGAUGGUGCUGUGGCUUCCAUGCCUAACUAUAUUGUUAGUUUAAAAAGUAUGACCACUGAGAAACACCUCAUCUCCCGCUCUUUGAAAUUACAGACCCAUCCCCCCCCCCAAGAACUCCUUAUUUUAGUAUUUUGGACCCUAUCCAUUCUAUUGGAGAUCCCCAGAUACCAAAUUUAGUUCAAAUAAAACUGAAGUUUUUACCACA